rnacentral:rRNA from 1 species
GUGAGGAAUAUUGGUCAAUGGGCGAGAGCCUGAACCAGCCAAGUCGCGUGAAGGAAGAAGGAUCUAUGGUUCGUAAACUUCUUUUGCAGGGGAAUAAAGUGCAGGACGUGUCCUGUUUUGUAUGUACCCUGAGAAUAAGGAUCGGCUAACUCCGUGCCAGCAGCCGCGGUAAUACGGAGGAUCCGAGCGUUAUCCGGAUUUAUUGGGUUUAAAGGGUGCGUAGGUGGUUUGAUAAGUCAGCGGUGAAAGUUUGCAGCUUAACUGUAAAAAUGCCGUUGAAACUGUCGGACUUGAGUGUAAAUGAGGUAGGCGGAAUGCGUGGUGUAGCGGUGAAAUGCAUAGAUAUCACGCAGAACUCCGAUUGCGAAGGCGGCUUACUAAGCUACAACUGACACUGAAGCACGAAAGCGUGGGGAUCAAACAGGAUUAGAAACCCGGGUAGUCC